UAGCGCGUCAAAGGCAAAGUGAGGCUGAGU
rnacentral:piRNA from 1 species